rnacentral:rRNA from 1 species
UACGGGGGGGCAAGCGUUGUUCGGAAUUACUGGGCGUAAAGGGCUCGUAGGCGGCCAACUAAGUCGGAUGUGAAAUCCCCAAGCUUAACUUGGGAACUGCAUCCGAUACUGGAUGGCUUGAAUCCGGGAGAGGGAUGCAGAAUUCCAGGUGUAGCGGUGAAAUGCGUAGAUAUUGGAAAGAACACCGAUGGCGAAGGCACUCUACUGGGCUAUUACUGACACUCAGAGACGAAAGCUAGGGGAGCAAAUGGG